CCCUUAGAUGUUCUGGGCUGCACGCGCGCUACACUGAAGCGUUCAACGAGUAUUCACCUUGCCCGGGAGGGUUGGGUAAUCUUUUUAAAACGCUUCGUGAUGGGGAUAGAUUAUUGCAAUUAUUAAUCUUCAACGAGGAAUUCCUAGUAAGCGCGAGUCAUCAGCUCGUGCUGAUUACGUCCCUGCCCUUUGUACACACCGCCCGUCGCUCCUACCGAUUGAAUGGUCCGGUGAAAUCUUCGGAUCUGAGAGAUGUCUGAUUAAUUUCGGACGCCUUUUGGAAAAGUUGUUUAAACCUUACCAUUUAGAGGAGGGUGAAGUCGUAACA
rnacentral:rRNA from 1 species